rnacentral:rRNA from 1 species
GACGAACCGUGCGAACGUUAUUCGGAAUCACUGGGCUUAAAGGGCGCGUAGGCGGGCUCCCAAGUCUGCGGUGAAAGCCUCCAGCUUAACUGGAGAAGUGCCGUGGAUACUGGGAGUCUCGAGGAGGGUAGGGGCAUCUGGAACGUUGGGUGGAGCGGUGAAAUGCGUUGAUAUCCAACGGAACUCCGGUGGCGAAGGCGAGGUGCUGGACCCUUUCUGACGCUGAGGCGCGAAAGCCAGGGGAGCGAACGGG